UGCAGGAUUUGAACAACAUUAUUCUUCAAAAUGCAAUCAAAGCAUUUGCUCCAUUGAAAAUAAGAAUAGGAGGAACAUUACAAGACUUGGUGAUAUAUGAGACGCCAGAUCAACAGCAACCUUGUCUUCCUUUUAC